CCCUCCAGCGCGCAGGACGGCGAGGAGCGAAGGCAGGUUCCUGAGCGCGGCCGGCGGGGCCUCCGGAAGCCAGGCUGCCCCACGGCUCCCCCAGGAGCUGAGGCGGGGCCGGUAACGGCACCGAUGCGUCCCCGCGGGGCACCGGCGCUUUGCAAGCCUGCUCUUACACGUGAUCUCAAUCGACUCCCAAGAGGGUUGUGACGUUUUUGCCCCUUUUUCUACGAGACCUGAGUCUCGGGGCAGGUAUCUAACCUUCCUGGAGAGUGACCUCCCUGGGCGACAAACACCGCUAUGAGCCAGUCGUGGUCACGCAUGCUCAAUGUCAGUGGGCUGGCUUAGGGGCGGGCAGUUCUGGCCAACGAGUCACGAGCUGAGGGAUCUUGGAGGGCUUCUGGAAAACGGUUUCCUCAUUCUUUAGAAGAAAACAUGGGAGAGAUGCCCCCGUUCUCUCAUGGAUAUUGUUAUAUGUGAAUGUGAUGCCCUGAACUGCAGCAACCAUGAGAGUCGGCAGUCUGAGGGCGAGCUAACAUGUUUACAAGGGCAAAGCAAAAAGAUGGGAAGAAUCUGGGCCCUCUAUGAGGUUAGAGUUGCUGAAUCCAUCAAGCCCUGGGCCUCACCCACUCAGGUACUGAUCUGAGGGAAGACAAUAAAUGUUUCUAGUGAUUUAAUUUCAGCCUAAAGCAACCUAACUCAUAUAGCCAGGGACCAUGUUGACACACAGUUUUACUCCGCCCAGGACCUCACAACUGUUCUUGGCCGCCAUGAGCAAAGGACGAGUGGAAGUUGGAAAUGAAUGGGCUGGGUAGGAGAAUCACGAAUGUUCCAGGUUAGCGUAGGUCCAAUUCUUCAUUCAUCACUCACUCUCUCAGCUGGAGUAUCUUUUCCUGAGACCUGUGGCUCUCUCCCAAAUGCUUAUCUCUCGUCUGAACCUACUACCUAAACAUGGGAGGUCGUUUCAGAGCCAGAUGGGGUUUGAUUAUUUCCUUGAUGAUAUCCAUUAUUUCCCUUCUGGGUAGAAGGAGGGUCUGCAGACAGCUGAUCUUUUUGGGGCAGAGAGUAUGGAGGUGGGGUCUCUUAUAGAACACGAAAUACAAGGAAGUGUUCUUUGGGCUGGAAGUAUCAAAAGAUUGCUUAGAAUUUACAGUUAUAGGGGUUUAACGGUGUGUCAGCCUGUAUACUGGUUUUGUGUCAUAUCUGAGCCAGAACUAGUAGCAGAGAUUCAAAGCAAUAUAGGUGGCAAGUACACCUGAGAGCGAAGCACGGGGAGAGAAGGGUAGCAGAGCGCGGGGCUGCCCCCCACCUCUCCGGGAGAGCAGCCUGGCCCUGGUGGUGGGAGGUGGCGGAGCAGCGCAGUGUCAGGUGGGACCCCCCGCAAUCCCCCACCCCGCAGACACUUACCACAGGGAGAGAUGCUGAGCGGCUUCUCCUGUGAGUGCCCAGGGUGGGAGAGGCUCUGAGAACUCUGGAGCCAUACAGUGACUGUAGCAAUCAACUUUUAAGGCAGAAGGAACCAAGUGACAUGACCUUGUUCAUCCCCUUGCCUUUAGGCACCAACAGUACCGCUAAAGCCCCGUUACCUCAGAACAUGUUUGAUAGUUAAAAGCCUUCCGGGGUGGGGUGCGGGGAAGCAGAAAGAUUUCACAGCUUUCUCCCAUGAGCCGUUUUAAUCUAAGAGAACCUUGAAGCUUGUCCUAGACCCAUCCUGUUCUCGCCAGUCCAACCCCAAGACCCUCCUCCAAGUUGGAGGGUCCCAGUUCAGUGGCAGCAGGCGCUCCCCAGCAAGUGCAAGCUAAAGGGACGAGGGUGAGCGACCCCCGCCCCCCCCCCACCCCGGCGCGAGACCUACGUGCAGCGCCUGCCUCCUGGCUGUCUGUCCCUCCUUUCCUUCCACCAAUUUCUACGAAUUGUCCGUCUUUCUAAUGGACGCCAUGCCUUUGCUUUCACCACUGGUGCUCUUCAAGACUAAUUAGAUCCUGAAGGAACAGGAAGUAAAAAGCUGUUUCUGGGUAAGUUGCUAAUGUUCUUGGUUUAGAGUUAAAGUUCCCUGCCAGAGACUUGCAGAGAGAGAACCCUCACUCCUCUGGGCAUUCUCAGACAAGGAGGAAGUGCUUCCCUUCCCUUGGGCAGCUCUGGGCUGAAUAUGCAACUUGCCAUGCAACUGGGUUGAAGAAAGACAGAGAAGGCCACAAAGGUCAAAACUCACUUGCUCUUGGGGAGGGGGUUAGAAAGCUAGUAAAGAAAACCUGCGGUGCAGCUGUCUUUCAGGAGAGGGUAUGGAGGGUGGGACGGAUCUACCAGAAGUGUUGUCGGUCUGCGCUGAGGUCUUUGGGACAGGAAGAGUGCAGCCACCCAGGGAGAAAGCCUGCAGUGACACCCUCUGCGGGGCCGGUGUGCUGGAAGGAGUGCCUUGAGAAAGGUUUCCCUCCCUCUUGUGGGGCUGUUGGGAAGCUAGGUAGGACCAGGGGUCUGGCUUUCAAGAGUGGCGCCGAAUGAAUUUUUAGUUUCCUGGUGGGAACAGAGAACUCAGAAGAUUGUCUUCUCCUCUAGGAAGAUCUGGCCGUGGUUUUUCUCCUUGUCUCCCGAGAGCGUGCGCUGGUGGGUGAGGCACACGUGUGCACAGGGCCAGGCUGUCGGCAAACCACCUUAGCGAGGAGGGCAAAGGAGAGGCAAAAGGGGCUCAUUCCUCUACCUCACAGCUUCCUUUUCCAAAGGAAGCAGGAUCCACCCACCAGCAACAGUCCAAACACCACCAAAGAGGC